GAGUUUGAUCUUGGCUCAGAUUGAACGCUGGCGGCAUGCCUUACACAUGCAAGUCGAACGGCAGCACGGGAGCUUGCUCCUGGUGGGCGAGUGGCGAACGGGUGAGUAAUGCAUCGGAACGUAUCCUGGAGUGGGGGGAUAACGUAGCGAAAGUUACGCUAAUACCGCAUAUUCUGUGAGCAGGAAAGCGGGGGACCUUCGGGCCUCGCGCUCUUGGAGCGGCCGAUGUCGGAUUAGCUAGUUGGUGAGGUAAAGGCUCACCAAGGCGACGAUCCGUAGCAGGUCUGAGAGGAUGAUCUGCCACACUGGAACUGAGACACGGUCCAGACUCCUACGGGAGGCAGCAGUGGGGAAUUUUGGACAAUGGGGGCAACCCUGAUCCAGCCAUGCCGCGUGAGUGAAGAAGGCCU
rnacentral:rRNA from 1 species